UCGUGCAGAGGUCUCCCAGUCUGACCCGUGCUCAGCCAGCUCUUGAUGUCAGUAGGUGAGGUGUAGGGACAGUGGCGGUUCUGUGCACAAAGCCGGCACUGGCCGCUCCCCUUCCUGGCAGACGGUCAACCAGCUCAGGAGGGGAACUUCCAACCAGUUAAGUUGUAGGCGAGGAUUCAAAAAGGCUGACGUUGUCGUCCGAGGCCUAAAGGCAACCGGGCUUUUGAAAAAGCAGGUUCCAGUGGUGCACUCGACCCAGAUUAGGGGCCGGCAGCGUCCACGUGGGGCAGGGUCUUUAGAUGUUUCCCAUGGUUGGCACCGCCUUCACUCCCACUUUGCUGCCGUGAGGUUGGGGAAGGAAGCUCAGGUGCACCUCUGUGUACCUGGGGGGGCUCCACGCUCUGCUAGUCGAUCGGAAAUGAUGUGAUUGGAGAUUUCAGACACGGGUCACUGGCGAUUUUCCCUGUUGGGACUGAGCGUUUUUUGGUGUGAGGCUGUGGGAAAUGACCUUAUUUUUUGGCCGUGGGACGUGGGCCUGGCCCCUCCUCCAAUACAGUCCAGCUCACUGUGGCUGGUGCUCACAGCCACAGCCGCCCUGCUCUGCCCCUUGCCCCCUCCUGCCCCGACACCAGGCUGCUCAGUGCCAGGUGCCUGCGUCCCUGGCCAACGCGGAGGGCAGGAGAGUGCACAGCGGUCUGACUAGCUACAUUCCCGCUUCCUGCAGAACAAGCGCAGGGGUGCAGUUGUCCUGCCAGACUUUCUAACUGAGUUGUUUCCAGAUGGCCAGACCCCUCCCUUAGCCAGCUGCCCUCUCGGCCUGACACCUUGAGGGCCGGUUGCAGUGUGCGGGUUGCCCAGGUUGCACAGCUGCUGCUGUGAGGACACUUCAGUGCUUGUGAGCUGAGCUGAAGAGGAUCAGAAACCUGCUCAGCCCUUUGUCAUUCGGGGAAUUUCCUAAGUUCCUUGUGACCACGGUGUCUCGAGUGUAGACUGGGAGCACCUGACUGACUCUAGCCAUGUUCUUUUGGACACUUUCAAGAAUGCCUACGGGAAUGUUCUCAUAUAACCCUCACCUGCCUUGAGGAUAAGAUGACCCAAUUCGUGGUCCAUCCCAGUGUUAACGUAGGCCGACUUCUCUGUCUUUACUUUUGGGAGAAGAUCUGAAGUGUAAUUUGUAUGUUCUCAGAACAAUUUAGAGACAGAAGAAAGCCACAAUGCCAUCAGUUUGCCUGAUGCUGUGCAUGGGAACCAUACGGAGCGGUGUUUACAGCUGGGUGGCCUGCAGGCCAGCCUUCUAUGGGGCCAAGGUGACCAGCAGUGGCACCUGAGGCUCGGACAGAAAGGCAGCCCCUCUUCUGGGUCCUUUCUGUGCUCGCCGGGAGACCAGCCAGAGCACGUGAAAGGAUCAGAACAUUUUGCUUUUUUAGCUUAAUUCAGUACUUUUGGUUGUUGUUUGAGAUCAUACAGUCCGCCUGGAGAAGAAAAACUUUCAUCCUGUGUGAUCUUGAAACCCCACCCCGUGAGUGAGAAAGACAACAGUGGAGAUGGAAAGAGUUGUGGUCGCUCUCAGGCAUCCGCUUGGGCUUGCCAGGUGCGGCUGGGGCAGGGCCGGGACCCGAGGAAGCAGCUGCCGCGAGCCUGGGUCCUGGCUUGUGACCCGGACACGACAACCAUGGGGGGUUGUUUCUCCAUAAAGCAGCUUCUGAG
ensembl:lncRNA